rnacentral:pre_miRNA from 13 species
GACCGCACAGGAUAAUCAAUUAUCCCGUGCGGUCCACUUAAGUGAACCACACGGGAAAAUGAUUAUCCCGUGCGGUU